AAAUCCCGCAAAUCCGGCCCUAAAUCCGCAAUCCCGCUCCUAAACCCAAAAUUCUCUCCUAAAUCCGCAAUCCCGCUCCUAAAUCCACUCCUAAAUCUGCAAUUCCACUGCUAAAAUUGCUCCUAAAUCCGCAAUUCCGCUCCUAAAUCCCCAAUUCCGCUCCUAAAUCCCCAAUUCCGCUCCUAAAUCCCCAAUCCCGCUCCUAAAUCCCCCAAUCCCGCUCCUAAAUCCACAAUCCCGCUCCUAAAUCCACAAUCCCGCUCCUAAAACCACGCCUAAACCCAGAAAGCAGCAGUUGAAAGUGACCCUAACCACACAACCCCGCAGCCAAUCCCGCUCCUAACUGCUCAAACCGCUCCUAAAUCCGCAAUUCUGCUGCUCAAAUUUGGGGAUUUUGGGGGAUCCAGGAAUGGGGACACAAAUCCCAAGGAUUUGGGGACCCCCAUGUGACCAAUCCCAAGGAUUUGGGGACCCCCAAAACCCCAAUCUCAAGGAUUUUGGGGUCCAGGAGUUGGGGAAUAAAAUCCCAAUUAUUUGGGGACCCCCAGGACACCAACCCCAAAGAUUUGGGGAUCCUCACAUCACCAAUCCCAAAUAUUUUAGGGACCCCCCAGGAUUUGGGGACGUCAAUCCCAGUGAUUUGGGGACCCCCAUGUCACUGUUCCCAAGGAUUUUGGGGACCCCCAAGACACUGAUCCCAAGGAUUUGGGGGAUCCAGGAUUUGGGGACACCAAUCCCAAAAAUCUGGGGAUCCCCAGGACUCCAAUCCCAAAGGUUUGGGGACCCCCAGGACACUGAUCCCAAGGAUUUGGGGGUUCGGGAUUUGGGGACAUCAACCCCAAGGAUUUGGGGACCCCCAGGACACCAAUCCCAAAGAUUUGGGGACCCCCAGAAUUCCAAUCUCAAAGAUUUUGGGGGAUCCAGGAUUUGGGGACAUCAGUGCCAGGGAUUUGGGGACCCCCAGGAUUUGGGGACCCCCAGGAUUUGGGGACCCUCAUGUCACCAACCCCCAGGAUUUGGGGACCCCCAGGAUUUGGGGACCCCCAGGAUUUGGGGACCCCCAUGUCACCAACCCCCAGGAUUUGGGGACCCCCAGGAUUUGGGGACCCCCAUGUCACCAACCCCCAGGAUUUGGGGACCCCCAGGAUUUGGGGACCCUCAUGUCACCGAUCCCAAGGAUUUGGGGACCCCCAGGAUUUGGGGACCCUCAUGUCACCGAUCCCAAAGAUUUGGGGACCCCCAGGAUUUGGGGACCCUCAUGUCACCGAUCCCAAAGAUUUGGGGACCCCCAGGAUUUGGGAUCCCCUUUUUUCCCGAGCUGACCCCUGGGUGACCCCGGGAUUGUCCCCAAGGGCACGACCCCGGUGACACUUUGGGGGUCCCAAUGUCACUGUCACAGCCUGGGGGUGACGCUGCCAUGACCUGGGGGUGACAGGGGGUCCCAGUGUGGGGGUGACACUGUCACAGUGUGGGGGUGACGCUGUCACAGUUUGGGGGUGAGGCUGUCACAGUGUGGGGGGGUCCUACGGUCCCACAGUGUCACUGUCACAGCCUGAAGGUGACACUGUCACAGUUUGGGGUCCCAUGGUGACACUGCCAUAAUUUGGGGGUGUCACUGUCACGUUUUGGGGAUCCCAAUGUCACUGUCACAGUUUGGGGAUCCCAAUGUCACCGUCACAGCCUGAGGGUGACAUUGCCACAGUUUGGGGGGUCCCACGGUGACAAUGUCACAAUUUGGGGGUCUCAAUGGCCCCGUCACAGCCUGGAGAUGACACUGUCACAAUUUAACGGUGCCACUGUCCGUUUGAGGGUGACACUGCCACCAUUUUGGGGUCACAACGUCACUGUCACAGCCUGAAGGUGCCACAGGCCCAGCGUGGGGGUCCCACGGUGACACUGCCAGGAUCUGGGGGUCCCCAUGUCACUGUCACAGCACGGGGGUGACACAGACCCAGAGCAGAGAUCCCAGAGUGACACAGGGACAAUUGGGGGUCCCACAGCGUCACUGUCACAGCACGGGGGUGACACAAACCCAGCAGGGGAGUCCCAAUGUCACUGUCACAGCACGGGGGGUCCCACAGGUGUCACCCUGGGGGUGCAACCCAGCAUAGGGGUCACAAUGACACUGCCAGCAUUUGGGGGUCCCAAUGUCACUGUCACAGCCUGGGGGUCCCACAGGUGUCACUGUCACAGCACGGGGGGGUCCCACAGCAUCCCUGUCACAGCACUGGGGUGACACAAACCCAGCAGGGGAGUCCCAAUGUCACUGUCACAGCCUGGGGGUGACACAACUACGAUGUGGGGUGCCAUGGUGACACAGCCACGAUUUGGGGGUCCCAAUGUCACUGUCACAGCCUGGGGGUGACACAAACCCAGCACAGGUGUCCCACAAUGACACUGCCACGAUUUGGGGGUCCCAAUGUCACUGUCACAGCCUGGGGGUGACACAAACCCAACAGCAAGCAGUGACACAGCCACAAUUUGGGGGUCCCUGUGUCCCCAACGUCACUGUCGCAGCAUGCGGGGUCCCACAGGUGUCACUGUCACAGCCUGGGAGGUGACACAAACCCAAUACAGGUGUUCCACAGUGACACUGCCACGAUUUGGGGGUCCCAAUGUCACUGUCACAGCCUGGAGGUGACACAAACCCAACACGAGCACCCCACAAUGACACUACCAGGAUUUGGGGGUCCCAAUGUCACUGUCACAGCCUGGGGGUCCCACAGGCCCAGCACAGGGUCCCAGUGUCACUGUCACAACCUGGGGGUGACAAAAACCCAGCAUGGGCACCCCACAAUGACACUGCCACAAUUUGGGGGUCCCAAUGUCACUGUCACAGCCUGGGGGUGACACAAACCCAGCAUGGGCACCCCACAGUGACACUGCCACGAUUUGGGGGUCCCAAUGUCACUGUCACAGCCUGGAGAUGACACAGACCCAGCACCAGGGUCCCACGGUGACACUGCCACAAUUUUGGGGUCCCCGUGUCCCCAAUGUCACUGUCACAGCACGGGGGUGACACAGACCCACGACAGGGAUCCACCAGUGACAUUGCCACAAUUCUGGGGUCCCCGUGUCCCCAAUGCCACUGUCACAGCACGGGGGUGACACAAACCCACGACAGGGAUCCACCAGUGACACUGCCACAAUCUGGGGGUCCCCAAUGUCACUGUCACAGCACGGGGGUGACACAGACCCACGACAGGGAUCCACCAGUGACGCUGCCACAAUCUGGGGGUCCCCAACGUCACUGUCACAGAACGCCGGGUCCCACAGUGUCACUGUCACAGCAUGGGGGUGACACAGGCUCAGUGUGCGGGGGUCCCACAGUGACACUGCCACACAUGGGGGUCCCCAAUGUCACUGUCACAGCACGGACGCCCCACAGCACCACAACCACAAUUUAGGGGUCCCUGUGUCACUGUCACAGCACGGGGGUGACAUUCCCAGCGUGACGGUCCCACAGUGACACUGCCACAAUUUUGGGGUCCCUGUGUCCCCAGUGUCACUGUCACAGCACAGACACCGCACGCUACCACAACCCGCUGCUCCUACGGCGCACCCCGUCCCCUCACACCAACACCCCCGAACGCCCCACGCGUGUCCCCACCAGCACCUACUUGCUCUGGGGAUUCACAUUCUGCAACAUCCCGGCGGCUGCUGCUGCUGCUGCUGAGGCCCUCGGGCCCGCCCGGCCUUCGUCUCCUCCUCCUCCUCCUCCCGCCGUCUCCUCCGACGAGCCCCCCACUUUGCCCGGCCAAAGCUUCACCGCUCCCGGCCCGCUUUGGGCCUUUCCAGCGUCAGCGCAUCCCCGGUACCAGGGGAAGGGGGUCUUGCAGGGAGCCCCCUCCCCUUUCCGAGCUCCUCGAGCGGCGGCAGAGGAUGAGGAGGGAGGGAAACGCACCGAGCUCGGCCUCACAUCCACGGGGCGCGGCGAAAAUGGCGGCGCGCUCUGAGGGGAUGCACCGGGGGGGCCACACACAGAAACGGAGCGGGAGCGGGAGCGGGGGGAUCGUCCCUUCGGAGCCUCACCGGACCCGCCGAACGCGGCGCGAUCCGCUCGAUACAACCCCGGCCGAGUCGCUGCCAACCUCCGGCGGCCUCGGCUGGGAUGGAAGAGGCGAGGAGCCGCGCUCGGAGCGGCGGAUGACGGCGGAUAUCGUAGCGGGCAAUCUCAGCGGCCGCGCUCCAUCUUGGCUCGCUGAGGGGAAGGAGCGAGUGGGGGGGAAGGAGGAGGGAGGUGGUGGAAAAGAAGCCGGGCGGAGGCGUCUUCCCCCCCUCGCCGCCGGUGGCCGCAGGCAGGGGUCGCUGCGGAGGCCGGGGAGGGUCCGGGGAGGGUCCCGGAGCCCUCCGGGACGGCGGAGGCGGGGGAUGGAGCCGGGUUGGGGCCGCCCCCCUCGCGCGCCGGGCCCGACCCGCUCCGUCCCUUCGUCCCCGCGAAAUGGCGCCGCUCGGCCUGCCCCCGCCCGCCCUUAUAUAGACCUCAGCCGCCUCGCCAUUGGACGCCCCGCGCGCU
rnacentral:lncRNA from 1 species